rnacentral:rRNA from 1 species
UAGUCCAUGCCCUAAACGAUGUUAACUCGAUGUUUGCGUAAGUGAGCAUCCAAGGGAAACCGUUAAGUUAACCACCUGGGGAGUACGUUCGCAGGAAUGAAACUCAAAGGAAUUGACGGGGGCCCGCACAAGCGGUGGAGCAUGUGGUUUAAUUCGAUGAUACGCGAGGAACCUUACCAGGGCUUAAAUGCAGUCUGACAGCUUUAGAGAUAGAGUUUUCUUCGGACAGAUUACAAGGUGCUGCAUGGUUGUCGUCAGCUCGUGCCGUGAGGUGUCAGGUUAAGUCCUAUAACGAGCGCAACCCCUUUCUCUAGUUGCCAGCAUGUAAUGGUGGGGACUCUAGAGAUACUGCCUACGUAAGUAGUGAGGAAGGUAGGGACGACGUCAAGUCAUCAUGGCCCUUACGUCCUGGGCUUCACACGUGCUACAAUGGAUGGUACAAUGAGCAGCCACUCAGCGAUGAGGAGACGAAUCUACAAAAAGCCUAAUUCUCUAGUUCGGAGUU